rnacentral:lncRNA from 1 species
UCAGAUGGAUGUGAGAUUUAUCUCAUUUGAUUGCUUUUCAUUCGAGGGUCAACUUGCCAAACUUGAGAUUCUUGUUCCAAAAGCAUCUUAUCUUUUUUCAUAAGAUCCGACAUCGAUCGUUAUAGACAAGGUGUGAGCCAUCGAAGCCAAGAAGGUAAAGAAGACAGGAAGAUCAUCUCAAAUUAUUCUGUCUUUGCAUCGAAUUCUCUGUUUCUAUGAAGUAUUCGAUAGAACAUGCUGAAGUUAACUUUGCUGAUGAUAUGCUCAGCCUCAGCCACGUUUUCUUGUGUAAGAAACAUUGAUGAUGGAUACGAUCAAUCAUGCUUAAAAACGUUUCCAAGCUAAUAAUAUUUAUUUUAUUUUUUUGUCAUA